rnacentral:misc_RNA from 1 species
GAAAUGCGAUAAGUAGUGUGAAUUGCAGAAUUCAGUGAAUCAUCGAAUCUUUGAACGCACAUUGCGCCCCUUGGUAUUCCAUGGGGCAUGCCUGUUCGAGCGUCAUUUGUACCCUCAAGCUCUGCUUGGUGUUGGGUGUUUGUCCCGUCUCCGCGCGUGGACUCGCCCCAAAGUGAUUGGCAGCCGGCGUACUGGUCCCGGAGCGCAGCACAUGUCGCGCAAACGAGUGCCUUGGUACGGCGGCGUCCAUAAGCCCCUCUCUCAAGCUCUUGACCUCGGAUCAGGUAGGGAUACCCGCUGAACUUAAGC